GGGGGCGAGGAGGACGCGGGGGCGGAGGACCCUGAUUCCGGGAAGCUGGGCACCGGCCGCGGAGCGUCGGGGCUCGGGCUCACUCCUCCGCAGAAGAAACGUGCCUGGGAGCCCGGCUGGAAGGAGAGGAGGCUGCAAGGAGGGGAGCCGGGGCUAAGUGUGGGGUCUGGGGAAGAGGGGAAGAGACUGUGACGCCGUCUCAUUCAAAGCCCCCACAUCAAGAACCGAGGAGCCGGAUUGCGUCGCUGUGUACUUGGUCAAGUUACAAUAAACUUGGUUUCCUUUGGGGCAGAAAACUAAGAGCGCAAAUGGAAAGACCGGCAGCAUUGUUUUCACCAAUUAAAAAGGGAAGCAGGAGUGUGCUAGAAGGGGACCACACCGGCCCACUUACACACCCUGACACCGGGUUUCACCUGCUGUGCUCCCCUAGGAGCUAGGAGUGGCCAGAGAGGUCAGUGCACCCCUCAGUGAGGGGUGACCUGGGUCACACUGCUUGACAUCUCAGAAUCCGUUGCUGCAUCUGGGAAAUGAUAUUUUCCUCGUGGAGUUAAAAGUCCAUGCCAGGUUCUCAAGAAAUACUGGUUCUCUAAGCUACUUGUUUCACGUUCAUCAAGAAGGGAGACGUUUGUCUUCUCAGCCCUUUCCGAGGUUGGGACAGCAAAAUCAUUUUCAUCCAAAAUGCUUUUUAGAAAACAUUGUGUAGAUUAAAGGGUAGAAUUAUAAUGACUAACAUUUACUAAAAUAUUUUCUAUGUGUUGGAUCCUGUACAUUAACUCUUUAAACAACUGUAUGAGGUCCGUCGUCGUAUUCUCCCAAUUUUGUGAAUAAAAAAACGUAUCAAGCAACUGUGUGGAAAAGGCACAUACAAAGAAGGCUGCCUCUCCAAAAAUUUCAGAUACAAAGAUGCAUCUGUGCACCUACUGUGUUUUAUUCCAAAUGCAUCAAAACUGAGAUACCACAUUCAUAAAAUGUGCUUUAAUGAUGUAGGCAUUGAUACAUGUCCACAAUGCCUUACCUAAUAUUUUAGGGCCAGCCAGACAUGUUUCCAAAUUUGUAAGUUUUUUAAUUUUUAAAAGGUAGUUUGGUGCAUGCUUCAUUUAAUAUAGAACACACUCAAUCCAGCACAGUUUGGGACAGCACUCUGUAUUCAAACACAUCAAUUCUUCAGCAAAAAAAAAUGGACUCUAAGUGAGGUAAAUAAAAUCUAUGAAUAGCCUCACAUUUAUUCAGGUCAAGUACUUGUCACCAAAUAA